AAAAAAAAAAAAAAGAACAAAAACCUUUUCUUUGUCAACUUAUCAUCUUGACCCACUCCGAUUUGGAGUAUUACCCAAUGUCUUUUAAGUUCCAUCACCUAUUUAUGUUUGAGAAAAUGUAAAUAAUUAUGUUGUUCAGUGAAGUUAUGCCAAAUAAAAGCAAAAAAAAAAAAAAACAAAAAAAAAAAAACAAAAGUUGUUGUUUCAAAAGAAUAAAAAUAACAAUAAUAGGUGAAAUCCACCUUGCAACUUCCAAAAAAAAAAAAAUUCUCUGCAUUUUUCUCAAACAUACACUUUGUUUUCCUUAUUUCCUUUCUUUGUUAGCCAUAUCCCUAG
rnacentral:lncRNA from 1 species